rnacentral:rRNA from 1 species
ACGAACGCUGGCGGCGUGCUUAACACAUGCAAGUCGAACGCUGAAGCUCAGCUUUUGUUGGGUGGAUGAGUGGCGAACGGGUGAGUAACACGUGAGUAACCUGCCUCCUUCUUUGGGAUAACGCCCGGAAACGGGUGCUAAUACUGGAUAUUCACUGGUCUUCGCAUGGGGGUUGGUGGAAAGGGUUUUUCUGGUGGGGGAUGGGCUCGCGGCCUAUCAGCUUGUUGGUGGGGUGAUGGCCUACCAAGGCUUUGACGGGUAGCCGGCCUGAGAGGGUGACCGGUCACAUAGGGACUGAGAUACGGCCCAGACUCCUACGGGAGGCAGCAGUGAGGAAUAUUGCACAAUGGGAGCAAGCCUGAUGCAGCGACGCCGCGUGAGGGAUGGAGGCCUUCGGGUUGUGAACCUCUUUCGCUCAUGGUCAAGCCGCAACAAUGGUUGUGGUGAGGGUAGUGGGUAAAGAAGCGCCGGCUAACUACGUG